CAUGUACUCCCUCCGUCCGGAAAUACUUGUCAUCAAAAUGAAUAAAAGAAGAUGUAUCUAGAUGUAUUUUAGUUCUAGAUACAUCCCUUUUUAUCCAUUUUGAUGACAAGUAUUUUCGGAUGGAGGGAGUACCAU
rfam:Triticum aestivum genome assembly, contig: Triticum_aestivum_CS42_TGACv1_scaffold_556680_7AL